GUGGGGGUUGGAAAGAUUUUUCGGUCUGGGAUGGGCUCGCGGCCUAUCAGCUUGUUGGUGAGGUAAUGGCUCACCAAGGCGUCGACGGGUAGCCGGCCUGAGAGGGUGACCGGCCACACUGGGACUGAGACACGGCCCAGACUCCUACGGGAGGCAGCAGUGGGGAAUAUUGCACAAUGGGCGGAAGCCUGAUGCAGCAACGCCGCGUGAGGGAUGACGGCCUUCGGGUUGUAAACCUCUUUUAGCAGGGAAGAAGCGAGAGUGACGGUACCUGCAGAAAAAGCGCCGGCUAACUACGUGCCAGCAGCCGCGGUAAUACGUAGGGCGCAAGCGUUAUCCGGAAUUAUUGGGCGUAAAGAGCUCGUAGGCGGUUUGUCGCGUCUGCUGUGAAAUCCCGAGGCUCAACCUCGGGCCUGCAGUGGGUACGGGCAGACUAGAGUGCGGUAGGGGAGAUUGGAAUUCCUGGUGUAGCGGUGGAAUGCGCAGAUAUCAGGAGGAACACCGAUGGCGAAGGCAGAUCUCUGGGCCGUAACUGACGCUGAGGAGCGAAAGGGUGGGGAGCAAACAGGCUUAGAUACCCUGGUAGUCCACCCCGUAAACGUUGGGAACUAGUUGUGGGGACCAUUCCACGGUUUCCGUGACGCAGCUAACGCAUUAAGUUCCCCGCCUGGGGAGUACGGCCGCAAGGCUAAAACUCAAAGGAAUUGACGGGGACCCGCACAAGCGGCGGAGCAUGCGGAUUAAUUCGAUGCAACGCGAAGAACCUUACCAAGGCUUGACAUACACCAGAACACCGUAGAAAUACGGGACUCUUUGGACACUGGUGAACAGGUGGUGCAUGGUUGUCGUCAGCUCGUGUCGUGAGAUGUUGGGUUAAGUCCCGCAACGAGCGCAACCCUCGUUCUAUGUUGCCAGCACGUAAUGGUGGGAACUCAUGGGAUACUGCCGGGGUCAACUCGGAAGAAAGGUGGGGAUGACGUCAAAUCAUCAUGCCCCUUAU
rnacentral:rRNA from 1 species